CAACGAUCGGGCAAGGGGAGACAGUUGUCUGGGGGCCCCACUGCCUGGAGGGGCCCCCCAGAGGCACCUCACGUGACUCCCCAUUGCCCGCUGCCCACCCCCAAGGCCCCUCAGCCACUUGCCCUGUUCGCCGUCUCUCCAGCUUGUUCUCCUGGCCGGCAAUCCAGCAGCAGACAAGCGGCAAAGAGCUCCUUUUCUCCCGCCUCUCAGCUGAUCGGCGGGUGGGCGGGGCUUCCACGGAGGCCUCCGUGUAGGCCGCAGUGAAGCCUGAACUCCAGUAGGGCCCAAGCCAGCCAGGAAGGAGGAGGCAGCCAGAGUGGCCACCACUGGUCUCUGCAGCAGAAGACCCCCUGCUGCCCUGCUGAACCCAGCAUUUGCCAGACCCAGGAGAGGUGGUGACUGUCCUGAAUCAGAGCCUGGAUGCAGUAAUGGACUGGAUGAGGGUGAACACAUUGAGACUCAGUCUAGACAAGGCAGAUGUACUCUUGCCCUGCUCCAAGUGCCCCUGCCAAAUGAGGUGAAGCAGAUGGCUACUAGGGAGAGAGCCUUUUUGGUGUUCGCACACCAUUUAUGGAAUAGCCUCUCCAGUGAGGCUCGCCUGGCUUCAUGAGGUCCCCCAGUGAGGCUCUGCAGUGAGGUUUGCCAGCUUAGAUGCCAGGUCAGGUUCUGGAUCCAGAAACAACCUUCCCUGUGAACCGCUAUGAUGAACUAGAAUGUGACUGUGGGCGCUGUAACACCACCCUGUUAACAUCUGCUCCUGCUGUGGAAACUGAAGCUGGAGAGCCUCCAGCUAUUGCCCCCCCAAAAAAAAACAGAGGCAUGAGAGUCUGAAACAGAAACUCCUGUGAAACAAAAACUUUGUAGGAAAAAAUGGAUGAGGAAGAGGCUUCAUCAUUAUUGGUGUAAUGACUACUGUUGCUACAAUUCAGACAGGGACUUCUCCGAUGAUCAGUGUGGCUGCCAUUCUUUUUUUGUCAAGCAGACACCAGGAUUUUCAGUGUGACUAUAAGAGCUGCAGGUCUAGUGAUGAUUGGUCAUCGUGUGAUUGCCUGACACCAACUUCAGGCAGCCUGAGAUCCUCUUACUGCAGGGCUGCAUGCUUUAUUUCAUCAACUAACAGUGGGGAGGUGGAGGAAGCUGUGGAUGGCAGUGUUCUUGCAAAAGCAAGCCCCAACUGAGGAGCAGGACAAGCUGAACAUACAGCUUGGGGAUGUCAACGUAUCCUGCAUCUCAUUGUGCUUGCACUGAUGAUGACCAAUAAAAGAAUUUUGAGUUCAA